rnacentral:lncRNA from 1 species
AUUUAAAUAAAAAGAAAAUUUCUUCAAACAUUUUUUUGAGAGGAUUAAUAUUCAACAGCAUAGUGAAUUGCUCAAAGGAAAAAAAAGUAUUUUAAGUUCAUUAGACCACAUUCAUUCUGUGUCAGAAACCUAUGCUGUGUCACUAUUUAAUCACAAUCCAAAUUUAGAGCUGAAUCCAGCUUGAAUGUUGUGUCCAUACUUGCCCCAACCGUUCAGGGUUCAACCUCUGCGGUCGUAUAAAGCUGCACCCUGCGGAGC